UACGAACUGUGCGAACGUUAUUCGGAAUCACUGGGCUUAAAGGGCGCGUAGGCGGUGCGGUACGGUUUCGGUGAAAUCCCUCGGCCCAACCGAGGAACAGCCGGGGCUACGGCCGCACUAGACGGCAUCAGGGGACAGUGGAACUUCCGGUGGAGCGGUGAAAUGCGUAGAUAUCGGAAGGAACGCCGGUGGCGAAAGCGACUGUCUGGGGUGCCUGUGACGCUGAGGCGCGAGAGCCA
rnacentral:rRNA from 1 species